rnacentral:rRNA from 1 species
CUACCGCCGGCGACCGGCGCACGGGUGCGUAACGCGUAUGCAACCUACCUUUAACAGGGGCAUAACACUGAGAAAUUGGUACUAAUUCCCCAUAACAUUCGAGAAGGCAUCUUCUUGGGUUAAAAACUCCGGUGGUUAAAGAUGGGCAUGCGUUGUAUUAGCUAGUUGGUGAGGUAACGGCUCACCAAGGCAACGAUACAUAGGGGGACUGAGAGGUUAACCCCCCACACUGGUACUGAGACACGGACCAG